UAUAUGUAAGUAAGUUGUAAGUACAGAAAAUAUUAAUUUUUUAUGAUUCUUGUUUUUGCGUAAGCGCACGUUUGAAGUUUGCAAUAAUACCAACUUCCAGUUUUAAUUGUACUAGCUUACAGACUGUUAAUAAAUUGUUUCUCGCAGCCGCAAUAAGUAUUAUUAAGUGCACCACUGUAUAUUAUUUAUAUAAAUUAACUGUAGUACUACUACUAUCCUUUUUUACCGUUCUGCGUACCCCACGAGCCAACAGGCCGUCAAUCGAGAUAAGUACUCGGAUUCGCCGCGCGCAGCAUCAUGAGUAUGUGGCCUAAAGUCGAAAGCAACUGACGAACUUCAGUCGGAGGUCAUUGCAUCUGUGGCAGGCGACGCACAAAUGUCAGUGGUUUUAACAAUCGGGUUUAUGCGACGGCUCGUGGUAUUCUGUUGUUUUAUAAUUUGCAAAGCACUGCGGUGUCGAGACUGUCUAUGGAUGAAUGGAAAGGAUCCCAACGAUUGUCGUCUACCAGUGACAACUAAUACCGUACAAUGCCCGUCAACUUCCAAAUACUGUGAGGAGUGGGCUAAAUUUACCGAUGACGACGAUCCAGCAAAUAUAGCCGGUGAAUUUGUGAGUAAUUUGAGCUCUAUAAAAUCAUUGAAGUAUAGACGUGAUGCGUUAUGUCGUCAAUCGGAGAUGCUCGGGUACCAGAAGGUCGGAGCUACCCACGUUCCCAGGCUGGGAUAUUGCGUCGGAGUAUGACCGUCUGUGGAAAAUUGCGGCGGACAACCAGCGAACAUCAAUCUGCAGGAUAAUGAACGAACAUCCUCUUGCGCCGAUUGAUGGUACGCACAUGAAUCGAGUGUGCAUUUGCCGUGAAGAUACGUGCAAUAGCCAUACGUGGAACGAUAUGGUUACCCUGCCCUUUGUACCGUAUAACUUUAAUGCCAGCUCGAAGCCAGUCUACCCAGCGCUCGGUUACAAUGACCUGCCGGUGAAUAUUGGGCAACCCGGUUAUGUGCCCGAGUUGUACCAGGGUCCCGCCACCUAUGCCGGCGACUUCUACGGAUGGCGACGCGGUAACCAUACCAACUCCGCCCCGCUAAAUACCGUGGAACCAGUUGACGCAUUUGCGAAACUUUUACCUUAUCUCGGAUUCUCCGCGAUUUUCCUUGUUUUGCAUCAGGAAUUUCAGCUCACUUUGGAUUAGUCUUAUCGCCGUCGAAAACGAGGUGGAUAUCAUUCUGUCAAUCUGCUGAAACAACGAAAAUGCAAAGUUUUAUGUGCAGGAAUACGUUCAAUCGACCUUAUGCUGUAAUAAGCUCUGCUACUUUUUCAUAACGGAAUUGCAUAAUAACAAAACUGUGUGCACUGUGCAGUGUGCACCUUGUACUGCCAAUCCAUUGGCAAUCAAAAAUUCAAAAUCCCCAGAGAUUAAUUUACUGAAUCAUAGAUUAAUGAAAAAUUAUUUAUAAAUUGCAACUUUGUAGCGAUCUCGUUAAGAAAGCCC